rnacentral:rRNA from 1 species
CCUACGGGAGGCAGCAGUGAGGAAUAUUGGUCAAUGGGCGAGAGCCUGAACCAGCCAAGUCGCGUGAGGGAGUACUGCCCUAUGGGUUGUAAACCUCUUUUGUCGGGGAGCAAAAGCCGGACGUUUCCGGCUGUGAGCGUACCCGAAGAAAAAGCGUCGGCCAACUCCGUGCCAGCAGCCGCGGUUAUACGGGGGAUGCGGUCGGUAUCCGGAUUUAUUGGGGUUAAAGGGUGCGCAAGGGGAUUUUUAAGUCAGCGGUCAAAUCGUGGGGCCCAACCCCAUCCAGCCGGUGAAACUGGGGAUCUAGAGGGUGAGAGAGGUAUGCGGAAUGCGUGGUGUAGCGGUGAAAUGCAUAGAUAUCACGCAGAACCCCGAUUGCGAAGGCAGCAUGCCGGUGCACAACUGACGCUCAGGCACGAAAGCGUGGGUAUCGAACAGGAUUAGAUACCCGUGUAGUC